rnacentral:rRNA from 1 species
GUGCAAAGGUAGCAUAAUCAUUUGCCUCUUAAUUAGAGGCUAGUAUGAAUGGACAAACGUGAGUCAAGCUGUCUCUUCUCUAUAAAUAAAAAUUAAUCUUUAGGUGAAAAAGCCUAAAUUCUAUAAAAAGACAAAAAGACCCUAUUGAGUUUUAUUACAUAAGCUUUAACCUAUAAUAAAAUAAAUUUCUCAAGUCAAAAGUAAUUUAGUUGGGGCGACUGAGGAAAAGAAUAAAUCUUCCUUAAGUUUAAAGAUAAAAUCCUAUUUAAUGAUCCGCAGAAGCGAUUAAAAGAAAUAACUACCAUAGGGAUAACAGGCUAAUUUCCUUCAAGAGCCCAUAUUGACAAGGAGGUUUGGC